rnacentral:rRNA from 1 species
GAUGAACGCUGGCGGCGUGCCUAAUACAUGCAAGUCGAGCGAACAGACGAGGAGCUUGCUCCUCUGACGUUAGCGGCGGACGGGUGAGUAACACGUGGAUAACCUACCUAUAAGACUGGGAUAACUUCGGGAAACCGGCGCUAAUACCGGAUAAUAUAUUGAACCGCAUGGUUCAAUAGUGAAAGACGGUUUUGCUGUCACUUAUAGAUGGAUCCGCGCCGCAUUAGCUAGUUGGUAAGGUAACGGCUUACCAAGGCAACGAUGCGUAGCCGACCUGAGAGGGUGAUCGGCCACACUGGAACUGAGACACGGUCCAGACUCCUACGGGAGGCAGCAGUAGGGUAUCUUCCGCAAUGGGCGAAAGCCUGACGGAGCAACGCCGCGUGAGUGAUGAAGGUCUUCGGAUCGUAAAACUCUGUUAUGAGGGAAGAACAAAUGUGUAAGUAACUAUGCACGUCUUGACGGUACCUAAUCAGAAAGCCACGGCUAACUACGUG